GUGUGACCCUGGGCAAGUCACUUCUCUGUGCUUCAGCUACUUUAUCUUAACAUAGGGAAUAUGAGUAUGAGCACCUUGGGUGACAUAGACUGUGUCCAACCUGAUUAACUUGAAUCUACCCCAGCACUUAAUACAGUGCUUGGUACAUAGGAAGUGGUUAACAGAUACCAUGGGAAAAAAGGGGUGGGGUUGUUACUGCCACUUAGAAAUUGAACGGAGCCCUCACCUGCAUUGCGCAUUCACUUUGCAUCCAAACCCGGGUAACGAGAGGUGGGAGAUCUUAAUGAGUUGGGAGGGAAUAUUCUAAAGGGGAAGUUCUUGUCGAGUUGGGUCCCAGCCCAGAGGGUGGGGACUGUUCCAGGAAAAAGGGUACCUCCAAAAUGUCAUAAUGGGAUGUAAAGGAAGGCACCCCAACUUAAUGGGAAAUGGCAAAGGCCAGGAAGAGUUCAGGGCGGGGGAGAUGCCCAUUAGGUAGCUUUACUGUAGCCUAGAGGUAAUGGUAAUGCAUGUGAUUCCAGGGAGAAGCUAACUUCAAUGGUGAAGCACCUGAUUUGGUCCUCAGGGGCUAAUUGAGGCAGCUGGACCUCCGCUACUGUGUGAAGAGUCCCUUAGUGGUGGUGUUUCUGCAACGGCACUGCGGUGCUGGCUAGCGGAGAAGACCUCGGCGUGCAGCAGCCAUCAGAGCACGGAUGAACCCAAAGGGGCGUGAUCGAGUUGGCAAAAUCAGGAGUUACCUUAAAAGCUUCAUUGACCUGUUGCCCAAUCAAAACAUGUUUUAUAGAGGGCUGGACUUCGCUUUAGUGUUAAUGGGCAUUUGCUGUAUUUAUUGACUUUCAAAAAACCGUACUGUUACUUCUACCAAAAAAUAAAAAAAAGGAUUGUUAUGA